rnacentral:misc_RNA from 1 species
GAUGAAGAACGUAGCGAAAUGCGAUAAGUAAUGUGAAUUGCAGAAUUCAGUGAAUCAUCGAAUCUUUGAACGCACAUUGCGCCCGUCAGUAUUCUGGCGGGCAUGCCUGUUCGAGCGUCAUUACGCCCCUCAAGUCCCCUGUGGACUUGGUGUUGGGGAUCGGCGAGGCUGGUUUUCCAGCACAGCCGUCCCUUAAAUUAAUUGGCGGUCUCGCCGUGGCCCUCCUCUGCGCAGUAGUAAAACACUCGCAACAGGAGCCCGGCGCGGUCCACUGCCGUAAAACCCCCCAACUUUUUAUAGUUGACCUCGAAUCAGGUAGGACUACCCGCUGAACUUAAGCAUAUCAAUAAGGGAGGA